rnacentral:rRNA from 1 species
UACAGAGGUCUCAAGCGUUGUUCGGAUUCAUUGGGCGUAAAGGGUGCGUAGGCGGCGCGGUAAGUCGGAUGUGAAAUCUCGGAGCUUAACUUCGAAACUGCAUUCGAUACUGCCGUGCUUGAGGACUGGAGAGGAGACUGGAAUUUACGGUGUAGCGGUGAAAUGCGUAGAUAUCGUAAGGAAGACCAGUGGCGAAGGCGGCUCACUGGCCCGGUACUGACGCUGAGGUGCGAAAGCGUGGGGAGCAAACAGG